rnacentral:rRNA from 1 species
UACGUAGGCAGCGAGCGUUGUUCGGAGUUACUGGGCGUAAAGGGUGUGUAGGCGGUUGUUUAAGUUUGGUGUGAAAUCUCCCCGGCUCAACCGGGAGGGUGCGCCGAAUACUGAAUGACUUGGAGUGCGGGAGAGGAAAGUGGAAUUCCUGGUGUAGCGGUGAAAUGCGUAGAUAUCGAGGAGGAACACCGGUGGUGUAGACGGCUUUCUGGACCGUAACUGACGCUGAGACACGAAGCGUGGGUAGCAAACAGG